rnacentral:lncRNA from 1 species
CGCUGGUGAGGACAUCCUCAGCGCCCUGCUUCUUCUCAGCUGUCCCUUCUCUUUUAGGCAGAAAAUGUCCUGGGCCAUGCAGUACCACGGCUGUCUGCCCUGGGGCAGCUGGACACGGCUGUGUGGGUCCCAGCCCAGCCGCAGGGCAGCACGGUGUGUGUACCUCUGUACUGCUUCAGGGCCAGGUGCUGCAGGCAGCUGCUUCCACAGGAAGAUCCUCCACAUAGGCGGCACCUCCCUCCCCAGGAGCUGUGUUCGAUACAAGGGAGGGUCUCAGGAGAACCGAGCCCAACGCAGCUCCUCCCACCACGGCCUGGACCAUCUCAGGAACGUGGCCUCAU